GGGGGAGUAGCUCCAACUGGUAGAGCAGCGGUCUCCAAAACCGCAGGUUGCAGGUUCGAAUCCUGCCUCCCCCGCUA
rnacentral:tRNA from 1 species